UACGUAGGUGGCAAGCGUUGUCCGGAUUUACUGGGCGUAAAGAGCGCGCAGGCGGUCAGAUAAGUCGAAUGUGAAAGCCCCCGGCUCAACUGGGGAGGGUCAUUCGAUACUGUUCGACUCGAAGGCAGGAGAGGGAAGUGGAAUUCCCGGUGUAGUGGUGAAAUGCGUAGAUAUCGGGAGGAACACCUGUGGCGAAAGCGGCUCACUGGACCAUUACUGACGCUGAUGCUCGAAAGCUAGGGGAGCAAACAGG
rnacentral:rRNA from 1 species